rnacentral:rRNA from 1 species
AGUGAACGCUGGCGGUAGGCCUAACACAUGCAAGUCGAACGGCAGCACAGUAAGAGCUUGCUCUUACGGGUGGCGAGUGGCGGACGGGUGAGGAAUACAUCGGAAUCUACUUUUUCGUGGGGGAUAACGUAGGGAAACUUACGCUAAUACCGCAUACGACCUACGGGUGAAAGCAGGGGAUCUUCGGACCUUGCGCGAUUGAAUGAGCCGAUGUCGGAUUAGCUAGUUGGCGGGGUAAAGGCCCACCAAGGCGACGAUCCGUAGCUGGUCUGAGAGGAUGAUCAGCCCCACGCGAACUGAGACACGGUCCAGACUCCUACGGGAGGCAGCAGUGGGGAAUAUUGGCCAAUGGGCGCAAGCCUGAUCCAACCAUACCGCGUGAGUGAAGAAGGCAUUCGGGUUGUAAAAACCUUUUUUUGGGAAAGAAAAGCGGCAGGUUAAUACCCCGCUGUUCUGACGGUACACAAAGAAUAAGCACCGGCUAACUUCGUG